GGGGGUAUAGCUCAGUGCAUACGUAUCGGAAGGUCGGGGGUUCGACUCCCUCUGCCCCCA
rnacentral:tRNA from 1 species